rnacentral:misc_RNA from 1 species
GAUGAAGAACGUAGCGAAAUGCGAUAAGUAAUGUGAAUUGCAGAAUUCAGUGAAUCAUCGAAUCUUUGAACGCAUCUUGCGCUCCUUGGUAUUCUGAGGAGCAUGCCUGUUUGAGUGUCAUUAAAUUCUCAACUACACUGACUUUGAAUUGGUGUGGCUUGGAUUUGGGGGGAAAAUUGUUGUGGGCUUUUUGUAUAGUCUGCUCCCCUGAAAUUGAUUAGCGGUACCUUUGUGGAACUGUCUACAGGUGUGAUAAUUAUCUACAUCUUAGACAUCUGCUGGAAUGCUGCUUUCUAAACCUUACUUGUAUUGACAAUCUUGACCUCAAAUCAGGUAGGACUACCCGCUGAACUUAAGCAUAUCAAAUAAGCGGAGGA